ACCCCGGGUUCGGUUCUGGCAACACUCUGAUCUGGGUCUGAUCUGGGUCUUCUGCUGGUGCUCCAGUCAGCUUCGCGAGGAAGUAAAAAGCAACGCUAAUAUGUAGAGAAAGCGUCUGGAGGAGUUCAGCACCCUGGACAGCAGCUGCUCCGCUAACCGCUAGAGUUCGCCUUCAUCAACCAUUGCAGCCGAGCUGUGGCAGCGCGUGGACCGCUUUGCUUUGCGUUGCGUUCCGUGCUACGUGCUUCAUCUCCGGGAUCUUGCUGAGCGUCUGCCCGCAGAGGGAGAGGAGCCAGCUGCUGAUGAAGGAGCUCAGAGAUGCGUGUUCUCACUGGAGAGUUUAACCUGAGCAGCCGGGGGUGUGCCUCUGGAUCCAUAAAUGAGACUAAAGCGAUGGGAGAAAGGAAAAAACACGGGGACAAGGGCCAUCAAGAAUGUUAUCUCCAGAGAAAAUAAGCACAAGCUAGUCUGAAGUGGAGAAAGACUGCAAAUCCAACACUUCUUUAACCCAGGAAAUUCCUCUCCAAGUGCAUGCGCUGUGGCCAGGAUGGAAUGACCAGUGGUGACCAGGAGUGAAAGGUGAAACGUCAAGCUAAUGCGAAACAGUGGAGGAAAGUGGGUUCUAGGUUAGACCGUGGACAUCUGCUGCACCUUGUCUACACGUUAGAAACAGCCGACUAUCCUGCCAGAAUACUGUGAGGCUCAGUCCAGCCUAGUGGAAACUACACGUGACAUCCCAAGCU
rnacentral:lncRNA from 1 species